AAGCAAGAGAGAGGAAACAAACUUACGUUUUAAAGGUAACAGCGCCGCUGAAGCAGAUAAAGCAAUGGAGGCCAUAUAAGAUGCUAGUAAUGCUGCUUAAUACAGGUCUCGAAUCCAAGUAAUGCUGCUCAAUACAGGUCUCGAAUCAGAUUUAAAUUCAUAAAGUCUGAUGGUUUGUGAAUUUUCUGACCCGUCUAUGGCUCCAUUUUUUCCACGCUGCUUGCCUACAAGCAGAAAAGAAAACAGU
rnacentral:lncRNA from 1 species